rnacentral:rRNA from 1 species
UACGGAGGGUGCAAGCGUUGUUCGGAUUUACUGGGCGUAAAGCGCGCGCAGGUGGGUGAACAAGUCGGAAGUGAAAUCUUGAGGCUCAACCUCGAGGCUGCUCCCGAAACUGUUCGCCUAGGGACUGGUAGAGGCUGGUAGAAUUCCCGGUGUAGCGGUGGAAUGCGUAGAGAUCGGGAAGAAUACCUGUGGCGAAGGCGGCCAGCUGGGCCAGAUCCGACACUGAGGCGCGAAAGCGUGGGAGCAAACAGGG